UACGUAGGCGGCGAGCGUUGUUCGGAAUUACUGGGCGUAAAGAGUGUGUAGGCGGUGCUCCAAGUCUGUUGUGAAAUCUCCCGGCUUAACCGGGAGGGUGCGGCGGAAACUGGAAUGCUUGAGGGUGGGAGAGGUAAGCGGAAUUCCUGGUGUAGCGGUGAAAUGCGUAGAUAUCAGGAGGAACACCUGUGGUGUAGACAGCUUACUGGACCGCUUCUGACGCUUAGACGCGAAAGCGUGGGUAGCAAACAGG
rnacentral:rRNA from 1 species